rnacentral:rRNA from 1 species
AGAGUUUGAUCCUGGCUCAGGAUGAACGCUGGCGGCGUGCUUAACACAUGCAAGUCGAGCGAAGCACUCGGCCUUGAAUCUUCGGAGGAAAGGCGGUUUGACUGAGCGGCGGACGGGUGAGUAACGCGUGGGCAACCUGCCCCAUACGGGGGGAUAACAGUUAGAAAUGACUGCUAAUACCGCAUAAGACCGCGGUGCCGCAUGGCACAGCGGUAAAAACUCCGGUGGUAUGGGAUGGGCCCGCGUCUGAUUAGCUAGUUGGCGGGGUAACGGCCCACCAAGGCGACGAUCAGUAGCCGACCUGAGAGGGCGACCGGCCACAUUGGGACUGAGACACGGCCCAAACUCCUACGGGAGGCAGCAGUGGGGAAUAUUGCACAAUGGGGGAAACCCUGAUGCAGCGACGCCGCGUGAGCGAUGAAGUAUUUCGGUAUGUAAAGCUCUAUCAGCAGGGAAGAAGAUGACGGUACCUGACUAAGAAGCCCCGGCUAACUACGUGCCAGCAGCCGCGGUAAUACGUAGGGGGCAAGCGUUAUCCGGAUUUACUGGGUGUAAAGGGAGCGUAGACGGCGAUGCAAGCCAGAUGUGAAAGCCCGGGGCUCAACCCCGGGACUGCAUUUGGAACUGUGUGGCUGGAGUGUCGGAGAGGCAGGCGGAAUUCCUAGUGUAGCGGUGAAAUGCGUAGAUAUUGGGAGGAACACCAGUGGCGAAGGCGGCCUGCUGGACGAUGACUGACGCUGAGGCUCGAAAGCGUGGGGAGCAAACAAGAUUAGAUCCCCUGGUAGUCCACGCCGUAAACGAUGACUGCUAGGU